CUUCAAUCAGCGGCCGUCUGGAUACAUGUCGUCCAGGGCAUAUGAAGUUGGUCCGGCAGCUCGGCGCUGUUUGUAAGGAGACGAUAGCUUGUGUUGGGAGCCAGAACAACACCUGGAUCUGCACUGAGUACACUCCAUGAUAAAGGCAAUGAAGGAGAAAGUGGGACCAGGAUCUGUGAGGGGCUGUUUGACAAAAUUGCGAAGAUGAUACAUCAAGACAGGCUGUCCUUCUGCACCAAAGUCUAGU